rnacentral:rRNA from 1 species
GAUGAACGCUGGCGGCGUGCCUAAUACAUGCAAGUCGAGCGAACAGACGAGGAGCUUGCUCCUUUGACGUUAGCGGCGGACGGGUGAGUAACACGUAGGUAACCUACCUAUAAGACUGGGAUAACUUCGGGAAACCGGAGCUAAUACCGGAUAAUAUUUCGAACCGCAUGGUUCGAUAGUGAAAGAUGGCUUUGCUAUCACUUAUAGAUGGACCUGCGCCGUAUUAGCUAGUUGGUAAGGUAACGGCUUACCAAGGCAACGAUACGUAGCCGACCUGAGAGGGUGAUCGGCCACACUGGAACUGAGACACGGUCCAGACUCCUACGGGAGGCAGCAGUAGGGAAUCUUCCGCAAUGGGCGAAAGCCUGACGGAGCAACGCCGAGUGAGUGAUGAAGGUCUUCGGAUCGUAAAACUCUGUUAUUAGGGAAGAACAAACGUGUAAGUAACUGUGCACGUCUUGACGGUACCUAAUCAGAAAGCCACGGCUAACUACGUG